rnacentral:tRNA from 2 species
GGGCGAUUAGCUCAGUUGGUUAGAGCGCCACCUUUACACGGUGGAUGUCGGGGGUUCGAAUCCCUCAUCGCCCACCU